UUUACCAAAACAGAGGCAUUUUUGGUUCGAAUAUGAUUUGAAUAGGUUCAGGCUUUUUCAUCUUACCGGAAGUGCUUCGGGUGAAUAAUUUUGAUUGGACACUAGUACUUUGUUGUAGGUAAGCAUAGUAAUUUCAGAAAAUACUUGCGAAAUGCAUUUUUCAGAAUCCGUUUAAAAUUUAACCAUGUUAACAUUGGGUCCACAACUUUCUUCUAAACGUUCAAUUCAUCUGGUUAUUUUUGUAUGAAAAGAUUAUUUUAUAUAUAAUAUGUAUCCAAUGUUUAAGAUGGCUUAUUGUUCAAUAACAAUGAAAUACAAGUCAAAAACCAUAUUAAAGAAGAUCAGUUAUAUUUUGGAUUCCGAAAUAGUCAUCAACUGAUUGUUGAGGUAUGCGUAGGGGGUCAUGGGUACGCUCUUAUUCAGAAUAACAGUUAAAACAUGUAAUAAAAUUAACGGUACCAAUUUUCUUGCACCAGAUGCGCAUUUCGACAAUACAUGUCUCUUCAGUGAUGCUCGUGGCCAAAAUAUUUGAAAUCCAAAGCUUAUAUAAAAGAUGAAGAGCUAUAAUCCAAAAGGUCCAAAAAGUAUAGCCAAAUCCAUGAAAGGAAUCAGAGCUUUGCAUGAGGGAGAUCCAUUCCUUAAUUUAUAAUAAUUUAUAAUACUUUUGUAACAGCAAAUUUGUAACCUUCGAGUCUAAACAAUGCAAGUUCCUUGGGUUAAUCUUUACAUUUUUGGUGACCAUGCUAGUUUAGAUAUAAAUUUAUAGUAUCAAUGAUACAUAGUAGGUGCGCACAAGUACAAAACAUACACAACACUUGACAAACAUACACCACACGCGUCUGCAAUACAUUGUAGAACAUAAUUACAAUAUCAAAUACAGUUAUCAAAGGUACCAUCCUUGUAAUUUGAUACGCCAGACCCGCGUUUCGUCUACAUAAGACUCAUCAGUGACGCUCUGGUCAAAAUAGUUGAAAAGUCAAAAAAGUUGAUGAGCAUUGAUAACCCAAAAUUCCAAAAAGCUGUGUCAAUUACGGCUGAGGCAAUUUAUGCCUUGGAUACACAAAUCCUUAUUAUUGCAAAUAAUUCAAACUUUUGCAAACAGUAAAUUUAUAAAAAUGACCAAGAGGUGUAAUUUGUUAUCAAAGGUACCAGGCUUAAAAUUUCAUACUACAAACGCACAUUUUAUCUACAUAAGACUCGUCAGUGACGCUCAGAUCAUAAAUCCGUUUUAUAGGGGUUGACUAGGUAUUAGAAUGUAUUUAUAUUGCAAACAAUCAACCAUUCGAAAAUAAAUUUGGGAUAAUUGGGCGAAUUUUAUAAACAUGUAUUUCAAUUGAUACUAAACCAAAUACUACGCAUCCAUUUUUUUUUUCGUGGGUUCCAAUUUUCGUCGAUUAACGGAAACCUUCGUGUCCGCGGUUUUUUUUUAAUAUCGAGGUUUUGUCGAAAUUUGUGUACAAGACUAUUAAGAAUAUGUCAUUCGUUGAACACUUAAUUUCGUGUUUAAAUUGUUCUCACGAAGUCCACGAAAAUUGUUAGUUAACGAAAGUUUAUGAAUCCAAAUUACAUAAUUUGAAAAAUUAUAAUAAUGAAUAUGUCUCAGUCAUCCGUAUACCUCAGUUUGACAGGAAGAUUAGACCAUGAAGAUCAGACAAGGAAGUUUUGAAAAGUACAUGGUUACGUGGGUUUUAAUAUAACUAAUUACAUGACCGUUUUAUAGCAACAUGGGUUAUUUACAGCGUUAUAUUAUAAAACAAAACCAUGCAUUCAUAUUCUAAUUGGCUAUCAAAAAUAUUCAAGAAACAAUAUCAGACAAUAUUUACCUGUUUCCGGCUGUCAUGUAUACCAUACCACGAAACAGGGUCUCUUUAAAUACAGAUUUUGAUGUUGUUAGAAUUUUCGUUCAGAAAAAUAAUUCGUAUUAUUAUUUGACAGCUGAACACAAAAUACCGAUCACGAAACUUAUCAAACAACUGUACUUUAAACGAAUUCGGGCUAAAAUUUACAUUCAAUGUUCCUGAAGUUAAAUUACAUAAUAAGUAUCAUUACAUAACUAUGAAGGUUUUUUUUAUGGCUGUUUCGAUAACAGCUAACUACAAAUAUGUAAAUUGGAAACGAAAAUCCAAUAUCAAAUUCAUGUCGCAGUGAUAAAUAACAUUCAAAGAGUAUAAGAAUAUUACAGUCUAGUUUAAAAUAUUGUCUUUGCUCGUUUUACAUCAAAUGGAAUUUUCCUUAAACGAAACAUACGCUUUUUAAUCUUUGUAAACUUCAGUAGUUGCAAUAAACACUUGUUAUCCUGGGCAUCCGGCAAAUGUUUUGUUUGUAGGAAACCUAUCACAGGUAUGCUUCAGAUAGACAGCAACCAUUUCAGUUAUAUACGGAUGUUGGUUAUUUUGAUAAGUUUGAAAUUUAGUAUGUAAAUAGUUGUCAUUUACGUAACAACUGACAGUGCAGUUGCAAUUGAUUAAGAUUUAAUUGAGAAUGGAAAUGGGAAAUAUGUCGAAGAGACAACAGCCCGACCAAAGUGCAGAAAACAGCCGAUGGCCACCAAUUGACCUUCAACACAGCGAAAAAAUCCCGCACCUCAAGGCGGGCUUUGAUUUGUACUAAACAAAAUGUGUACUAGUUUAGUAAACAUGGACGUCAUACAAAACUCUUGAACAAAUAAAUGAGCUAAGAUUACAAAUCACACAAGACUUAACAAUGGCCAGAGACAUUGUGACAAACGCAAAAAUGCGGCGGGUUUAAAUAUGUUGAGCGAGAUCUCAACUCCCACUCACCUGUACCUCUAGCAAAUGUACAGUAAUACACACAGUAAAACCAAGUCCGAUGUCAGAAAGGGUAACAAACGAAACAGAAUAAAAUGACAAUAAUAAAUAAAUUAACAUAGAACUACUAGCAGUUACUGACAUGCAAUAUACAGACUUCAGUUAAACUGCUUGAAAGAUUAUGUGCUGGUAUUCAUUAUAUCAAAUUCAAGCACUAUCCCUCCAGUUAUGGGUUUAGUAUCUUACCAUCCAUAAAUAUAUAUGAACAUAAUCAGUGUUAUGGCAACAACUGAGUUAAGAAUACCUGUGUGUAUGUCCAAUACAAAGACACUACGAGUGAAUUAAUAUUAAUAAUACCCAAAUAUUUAUGUUCCGAAUACAAAAUUUAAAUUUCGUCACUAUUUUCAUUAAGACUUUCAGAAUGAUAUAAUCAUUCGUGAAAACAAAAUAUUUAGCAUUGUUAUUUACACUAUUUAGUUUCUUCUGUUAUUUUUUUUUCUUUAUUCUGUUAUUUUUUGUCAACAGGUUGUCCAAUUUACGACAUGAAGGAUUCUUUGUUUUUAUAAGUGUGACUCUUUAUUUUCAAAAAAGAUUAUAUAAACUGCAGAUAGAUGUCAUAACAACAAAAUAGAAUGUCAACCUGAAUUAAUAGAUACAAAAUAUAUGUUAUUAUAUAUAUUAUAUAUUCUUUCAGUAGUUAAAAUUAUGCACCCGACUCGCUUCACGUCAAAUAAGAACAUACAGAUGAUUAGUUCAAUGUUAAACAUCAAUUAGAUGACUAACCAUCAACAGUCUAUACAUGUAAGUGGGAAGUGUUGCACACGAUCUUUAUGUGCUGAUGUCUAUUUCGUAUGUAAUAAACUAUAUGUACUCCAAAACCGACUCACAAAUGCUAAAACCACUAUUACACCCCAGUUCUAUUGUUAUACUUCAUAGUUUCUAUUUCGGAAACACGUGUAAAUUGAAUAGAUCUUUUGUUACGAAUAACAAUGGAUUUUGACCACAGGCUGUGACAAGCGGGAUUUCUAGAAACCCCUGCUACUACAUCCCGCAAACAAAGUCCAUUGUUAUUCGUAACAAUAGAACUUGAUUAUUCUUUAAAUAGCAACAACAUAAGAAAUCACUACAAAUUGUUUCAGGAUAUUAAACAAAAUAUAUUUUAGGAAAUUCCAAUAGCGAAAAAAAUUUAAGCAUCUAUUUUGAAUACCAAAAAAAAUCCUUUAAUUACUCCUUUGCUGAAAGUAAUAUUUUUUUCUCCCAGUCAUAUUUUUUUUAUUUAAAAAAAAGGGGGUUCUGUGGGUUGGACCCGAUUUUAAACAUCAAUGUAUUUGACUGACUGGAACCCCGUCCUCUUUCCGUUGAGUUGGGAACCCCCAGCUGGAUCAGCCACUCUCCACAAAAGAGAGAGUUACGAAAUAGUAAAUCUGUAUCUUUGUAUCCUGAGCGUGUCCGAUAGUCGGGUCUCUAUUGCCGACACACUUAUACCUUUGUAGGUCAAAAAUAAAUGUUUAUUUAUUCUCGAGAAGAGUGGGGCUUUUUUUUCUAUAAAACCGUAAGAUAAAAAAUAUAGUUAUGAUUACCUUUAUUAAACUGAUACAGGUAAGUACUUUGGGUUAUAAUAAUGCCUUUAUCUAUAGUCUCUUCUACCAAAUCCAACGCUUGCAAAAAAAUGCCGUCCGUUUCAUACGCUUCCAUAUUGACAACUGUAUACAAGAAGCAUAACGUAUUUUUUUUUGUAAUAUAUGAAUACACGAUACGGUCAACCUUGACCUGCUGGUCCAUAUUAACCCAAGGAUUUAAUUAAAAUAUGCAAAACAACCUUAACAUUCGUAAAAUAUACUCACUUGUCAAAGUUGGAACGAAGAUAACCAAAAAAGGUUACUAGUGGGGUUUCGUGUAAUAAAAACAAUCUUAUAAAUCAUGGUUUGAUAUUGUCAAUAAAAUAUAUGCUAUCGGUUUUUUUUUCAUUAGUUUAGAAUGGGGUGUAUGUUAGUUAUACACCUCGGGAUACGGCGUGUCUGGAUAAGAAACCCCUCCGACCUCCAGCCGACGGUUUUUUUUUAUCCAGCCACACCUUUCCCUCGGUGUAUAACUAUUACAUCUGUCCUUUUUACCUAUUAGGAAGUGCUUCGGGUGAAUAAUUGUGAAUGGACGUUAAUACUUUGUGGUAGGUAAUCCAAACAGGUAUUUUUUAGAAUAAAGUUGAAUUCAACGUUGUAUCCAAAGCUUUUUAAAAUAGGUUUCAUGAAAUCUGCCUUUCGACUUGACAAAUAGUAUUUUACACUUAAUAUAUAGCGAUUGUUUAGAAUGGCUAAUAGACCAACUAUCUGUAUGAAAAUCAAUUAGUGUAGCAUGCAAUUAUUCAGUUAUGUUUUGGACAUAAGAAUAAACUUCUUGUCAUUGUGAAGGUACAGCUAGGCGCUCAUGUUAUGUCCACUUUGAAUCUACAAAUGUCCUCUUGGUUUUUAUUGUUUUUUUGGUGACCAUACUUGUGUAUAUAUAAAUGUAUAUCAUCAAUGAUACACAAAAGUUGCACACAAAAAAAAACUAUACCUACACAAGAAUCGACUAAUGUAGUGUGAAUCAUCAAUACAUUGGAAAAUGUAUUAUAACAAUAUCAUUCAACGUGUAUCACGUUAGAUUUUUAUACAUAAGACUUUGUAUCGAACAGGCAAUAAGGGAUUCUAAAAUGCACAUCGAAUGAUUGAAUUAUUGUAUGAAUUAUUAAAACUGUGAAAUUUUUAUUUGAUCAAAAACAUAAAUUUGAUUUGAAACUAUAAUUGUAAUAAAUAUGUCUCAGUUAGUUACGAAAAGCGCUUCAGACGCACGACAUCAUUUAAUGUGUGUUGUCUUCAUGUUUUAAUUUACUUCAAUUUGACCAGGAAGAUUUGACCAUGAUGCGUCAAAAUUGGUUUCUGUGGUUUACAUAUAACCAAAUACCUGAUAGCUAUAUAGGUACAUGGAUUAUAUACACCUUUUUGGAAUAUUCUAAAAUGCAUUAAUAUUACAAAUGGAUAUCGCAGAUGUUUCAGAUAGAAACUAUUCAACCAUUUCCUGAAGCCAACUAUAAAUAAAAUUUUGUGUACGAAAUAACUCUUAAUAUGUUAUAUUUGAUAGAUGCAUUACGAAAUUGAUAAAUCAAUAUAUGUUUUAGUUAUGUUCCACUUGAUAGACUACCGCAUUAUAAACUUUUAUUACAUAACUAUGACACAUUCAUGUUCAUUAACGGUAAGAAUCAAUUUUAUCAAAUUUUCACAUUCCGUUUCGAAAUAUUUGUCAUCUUCCCUAAACAGCAGAUGGAGCAGUUGCAAUUGGCCAACCAAUUUUUCCAAUAUAUACGUUUUAAUAUUGUCCCUAUUUUCAUUCAGACUUUUUGCAAAAUAAUAUCGUGUUAAGAUGAUUUUCAAAAUUUUCAGCACUGUUAUAUGUAAUUAUUAUUUCCUGUUCACAUAGAUAUGAAUUGAUUGAUAAUGUUGACAUGAAUAUCAAUUAUGUGUCAUUUUUAUAAAUUACUUAUUUUUAAAACUUUGAAUUUUUCAAAAAACUAAGGAUUUACUUAUCUCAGGAAUAGAUUACCGUAGCCCGUAUUUGGCACAACUUUUUGAAAUUUCGGAUCCUCAAUGCUCUUCAACUUUGUACUUGUUUGGCUUUAUAACUAUUUUGAUAUGAGCGUCACUGAUGAGUCUUAUGAAGACGAAACGCGCGUCUGGCGUACUUAAUUAUAAUCCUGAUACCUUGGAUAACUCUUUUAUCAACAGGUUGUCCAGGUUCCGACACGACAGAUUCUUAUGUUUAAUGAAUGUUUGCAUUUUCAGGAUUAUUUUGAUAAACUGCAUAUGGAUAAAAAAGAAAUUAAAAUUGAAUAUCAAACUGAUAUAACAUUCAUUAAAAUAUGAUAUAAAAUUAAGUUUCAAAAUGUCAAUAUUCUCUCUAUUAAAUUAUGCCUUGGGCUCGUUUCAUGUCAGAUAUAUACAUGUAGUUUAAACAAAUGCAAUGGUAAACAUCAAAUAGGUUGCACGCAAUUAGCCAUCUAUUAAUAGGAAGUGUUGAACUAUUUUUAUCUGACCGUCACUGAUGAGUUUAAUGUAGACGAAACGCGCGUCUAGCGUACUUAAUUAUAAUCCUGGUACCUUUGAUGACUAUUUUCACACGAUCUAUAAUUCACGGUAUGUGAUCCAAACCAGUAUCACACAUGCUUUAACCACUAAAUAGGCCUUUUUUGCAUAUCCGGAAGUGAUUCCGGUGAAUAACUGAGAUUGGACACUACGUCUUUGUGGUAGAUGAGAAAAUUGAAAUUCAAAACAAUUCGCAAAAGACAUUUUUCAUAAUAGGCUUCAACUUAACGAUGUAUUCAAAAUUUCCAAAAUAGGUAUUAUGUAGCUCCUUUUUGGCUCAAAUGAGUAUAUAUAUUUUACUCAUAAUAUAUAGUACAUGUUUAAGAUGGCUAACAUAAUUAAUGUUGCCUGCGGUGAUGAUAUAAGUUAUGUUUUGGACAGAUACAGACAUCAUGCCAUUGUUAAUGUACGGGUAGGCGCUCAUAGGUAAGAUCUUAUGCAGGUUGCGGUUAGCGGUAUACUACUGUUGCCUUUAUUUGGAUAAAAUUUGAACAAUAUCAUUUAAUGCAAUUGACGUUUGGUUUUUAUACGAAAGACUAUUUAUAAAGCACAAGAUUAGGGAUUAACAUUGUUCUUCGAAUGAAUGUGUGAAAAUUAUAAAAAAAAUAUUAAUCGAAAAGCAUAUAGUGAACAUGAUUUGAAACUUAUCGUCAUAAAUAUUUCUCAUUCAGUAGAAAAAAGCGCCUCGCAUGCGUGAAAUUAUUUAACGUUAUCUUCGUGUUUUUCAUAUACUUCAAUUAUGCCAGAAAGACUUGAUCAAGAACAUUUGAGUACAAAUUUGGUUCAGUGGUUUUUAUUUAACCAAAUACCUAAUAGCUAAAUAUAAACCUGGAUAAAGGUGUUUAUUAUAAAACAAAGUCGUGCAUUUAUUUCCAGAUGGCUACUUGUUCCAGAUAAAAAGUCAAAUCACAAAAACACCUUGAGAUAAAUUUUAAUUUAUGUCAUAAUUUACACUCAAUGUACCUUUUACAAAAUAACUAUUUUUACCUAACAUUGAUGCUUUAACUUUCAGUAAGUCUAUUGAAUAAUUUGUAGAAGUUUUAAAUAAACGACGUUUGUAAAUAUUUGUCCUUUACAUAAUUACUGUGGGUUCAUUUAUUUUCGUUGGUAUCAAUUUCCGUGAAUUGCUAAAAACUUGCAUAUUCGUGGAUAUAUGAUUUCGUGGUUUUGCCAAUCUCUGUAUACAAAGCCUAUUGAAAUAUGUUUUUCUUAGAAGAUUGUAUUCGUGGUUCACCUGUAUCCACGAAACCCACGAAAAUUGGUAUCCAACGAAUAAUAAUAAAUCCAAAGUAACAGAUUGUGCAAUCGCAAGUGAUCAACAUAUGUUUCCAAUAAAUACUUUUGUUAAUUUCUAUUCAGGUAUCCGAAGAAAGAUAUCGUGCUUGUAUGGUUUGAAUACUUCUAAGCACUAUUAUAUGUCAAUUAUGUUUCCUUUAAGAAUCGUUAUGAAUUAAUCAAAUAUGUUAUUUAUUUUAACAGGUUCUCGAAGUUAAGACACGACGAAUUCUUGUUUUUGUUUAAAGUUUGUUUCGCUUUCAGGAAUUAAUUUUGAACAUCAAAGACAUGUUGAAGAUGAAAUAAAAACUUUAUACAAACUGAUAUAAUGGAUUACAAUAAAACAUUUCAAAAUGUCAAUAUACUUUCAAUAGAACUAUGCCCAUGACUCGUUUCACAUCAAAUAUGUGCAUGCAGUUCAGACAAGUUCAAUGUUAAACAUCAAUUAGAUUUCAAGCCUUUAAAAGAGGGACGAAAGAUACCAAAGGAACAGUCAAACUCAUAAAUCUAAAACAAACUGACAACGCCAUGGCUAAAAAAUGAAAAAGACAAACAAACAAUAGCACACCGUCUUUUACUAGGACGUGUUGUAAAUGAUCUCUAUAUACCAAGCUUGUUUAUGUCUACUUCGUGUAGAAAACCCGGUAUGUAAAUCAACAGAACCGAUGCCUUUUGGUUUAACAUAUCCCAGUGCCUGAUUUUCGUAGGACACAAUUUUUUAAUUACUUUGAAUGAAGUCUGGAGCAAGCAUAUCAGGAUGUCCUAGUAGUCCUUUGUUGAUUUAUGCAUCAAUGUCAUAUUCUGACAUAUAACUCGGAUGUUUUUAAUUUGAGUUUAACUGUGCGUAUUUCAGUGUGUUUGAUUAUGCUACACUGAGUACAAAUAUAGGGAAGGGUUUUAAGAUCUCACAAUUCAUGUUUAACCCUGCCAUAUGUUUGCGCCUGUCGUUAAAAGGAGCCACCGGCGUUUGUUAGUCUUAUAAAAAAAGAAAAUAAGGUGUGAUUGCGAAUAUGAAAACUCGUCACACGAGACAAAAUGACACAGAAAUUAACAACUAUAUGCCACCGUGCGGCCUUCAAAAAUGAGCAGCAAAUACCAUUCCACAUAAUAAUCUUCAAAAGAUCCCAAAUAAGUUCUUAUUCCAUUUCUACGUCUCGAAGUCUAUUUCACUGAACUUGUGAACUUUGUAUAAGGCAUACCUGAAGCUCGACUCCGGUACGAGAUUCUUUCGCUAUGGUGAGGACUUAAUGGUGGCUUUGGGCUGUGUUCUGCACUUUGGUCGGGUUGUUGUCUCUAUGACAAAUUACCUAUUUCCAUUUUCAAAUUAUUUAAACACUUAACAGGCCAAAUUGCAUCUUUCAGAAAGUUUGACAAAUUGUAACUAGACGAUAGUACCAUGUGGUAGGUCAGUAAUCUGAAAUAUCUUCAUCAUGCAAUUUUCAAAAUCAAAUUCAGUGUAAUGUUGUAUCAAAAAUAUUUCACAAUAGGUUCCAUGACCAAAAUGUGAAGGUCCGCUGGGUUAAUCUUAUAUUUAAUGGUUGGCAUGUUUUUAUUCAUAUUCAAAUGUAUAUCUAAGUCAGUUAUCUGAUGUUCAAUGGUUGUCGUUUUUUUUUAUGUGGUUCAAGUGCUUCUCCUUUCCCGUUUGAUUAUACUGAAAAGACUGUUGGUUUACCUGUUUAAAUGGUUUUACACUAGUCUUUUGUGGAGCCCUUUAGAGUUUGCUGUUCGAUGUGAGCCAAGGCUCCGUGUUUAAGGCCUACUUAUUAUUGUUUACUUUUACAAAUUGUGACUUGGGUGGAGAGUUCUCUUAUUAAUACUCAUAUUAGAUCUUCUUGUUUUAUUGCAUACAUGCAUAUCUAACGACGAACGUACAAUACACAGUCACUAUACAAUGAAUAAAUUAUUUCAAUAUCAUUUAAGGGACGACAUCAAAAGUUCAAUGUAGGAUAAAAAAAAAUCAUAUAGUUUUUUCACUGCCAUCUACUAUCUUUUAGAUAUUUAUAAAUAAGGUAUAACCUCCAUUGUAAAGUAUUUAAAUAUUUAUAGUCAGAAAUGGUACGCUUAGCUUGAUUCAAAUUCUAAAGAAUAUUAAUUAAUGUAAACAUGUUGUCACAAGCAAGUAUGUAUUACCAUUUAAAUAUAUAUUAAAGUUAUAUAUAGUAUUAUAGAAAAUAAUUUGUUCUUGAUGAAUAUACAAAAAAAACUCGUUUAAACUUUCUAUUUUAAAUCAAAAUUCUAUAUAUGAAUGAUUUAUUUUGACCUUGGUUUUUGAAAAAAUAUCGCUCGAUCAGAAAUAUAUAUAACCUUCACAACGUAUAUAUACUGCGUUCUAGUUUUACACUUGGAAUACACGUUGCCAAAUAUGUUAUAUGAUAAGUGAUAUUAUGAAAUUUGAUUUAUUAAUAUGAUUUAAAGAUUAUCAGAUCUUUACAAUAUUAAAAUAUAAUUCUUAUAUGAUGUGCAUAUUAGGGAAUUGGUGGAUAUGGUUGGUCUAGAGGACUUCCGGUAGUUAACCCACAAGUAUACUUUUGCGCCAGACCUAGUAUGCAAUGCCACAAAUACACAGUUUACGUGUGAUAGAUGGUAUGAGUGUGGACAAAUAUAUUUCUUUCUUCCUUUUCACGAAUUAUAAGGAUUAACACCUUUUUAAAGGAAUUUAUUGGUGUAUAAACUGGACCAAGUCACUAACAAACAUAUCAUAAAAUGCAUUGGGUUUAUUAUUUCUUUGUGAGUGAAUCGGUCGAGUUUAUGCACCGAUAAAUUCCUUUAAAAAUGCUUUAAAUCUAAAUCUUAUAACAACAUCUGUAAUAUGUGAUUUGACAUUUCACAUCAAGUACCAGCCAUAAAAUAUUAUACAAAUUAAAUCUCAACUCUGACUCGUUCUCUGUCUGUUUGGUAAUAUUUUCUUACCUCAUAUAAUACAUUAUAAUUUAUUAAAAGCAAGAAUCCUCCAUAUUUUAUAUAAGUGCAGUGGGCGCGGUUCAUGUAAAGUACGCGGUUAGUUGUAGAGUUAUGAUCUUGAAAAAAAGGGUGUUGUUUUUAAUAUACAAUCAUUUUUAGUAUAAAUCACCGUACGGUUGCCUCCAAUUGCCUACCUCCAUGUCCACUUCAUUUGAACUUUGGCGGAUAGUUUUCUCAUUUGCAUAUCUCAACAUCUUCUUAUUUAUAUACUUAAAAUGCUGUUAAGCUUUUGAACAAAACAUGUAUAAUAGAACUGACUUUCUCACUGGAAAUACAUGUAUAUUCUUUUUAAUAUUGUGUUGAAAUUGUGGUCUGAAGGUUUAUACAUUGUAACUACGUCAUAAUUCUCCAUAUUUAGAUAGUCGUAAAGAUAAAUUAGUUACAUAGUGUGUUAGUGGCCUGUUCGAUAUAUACUGGUUAAAUUAAAUAUAAACGAAUAGAAUAAGGUAUCUAGAACUCUUUAUAAGAAGUAAUUAGUAACGUAAAAAAUUAGAUCACCAAAAUAAAAAAAUAAAAACGGAAAGUCCAUUAAUCAAUUGGCAAAAUCAACUCACAAAACACAUCAAACGAAUGGACAAGAACUGUCAUAUUCCUGACUUGGUACAGGCAUUGUCUAAUGUAGAAAAUGGUGAUUGAACCUGGUUUGAUUGCGCUAAACCUCUCACUUGUAUGAAAGUUGCAUCAAAUUCCAUUAAAUUUACAACAAUGGGUGAACACAACAGACAUACUAUGUCAAAUUGUCAAAAUAUGGGUACAACAGUCAUCACUGUGUUACAAUAUCAAAGCAAAUAAAUAUUUAAAAGAGGGACGAAAGAUACCAAAGGGACAGUCAAACUCAUAAAUCUAAAACAAACUGACAACGCCAGGCUAAAUGAAAAGACAAACAGAAAAACAAUAAUACAAUGACAUCAACAUAGAAAAAAAGAAUAACAACACACCCACAAAACUGGGUAUCUCAGGUGCUCCGGAGGAUAAGCAAGAACCUGCUACAAUGUGGCCCGUCGUGUUGCUUAUGUGAAACAAAUCCGGUAAAAAGUUAUUCGGUAGGUACAUUUAUGAAAGGGAAGGGGAUUGUAGUUACGACGUAAGGACAUAUUGAUAAUAGUUGUGAAUACAUAACAUCUAAACAACUCGUGAUGGUCGUAAAAUUACGAAGGGAAAUUUCACUUCUCCAUUUGGAAUUUAGUUAAUAGCUCCUUGUGAGCAAGCACCUCUAUCAAGAAAAUCAUGUUAGGAAAUGCAGAGGGAAUAUCGUAUCAUUGAGAUAUAUACCCGUAUGUAGGUGCUGCUGAUUUUGUACUUAGAAAUGGAAAGUUCACUUUGAAAACUGAAUCAUCUCUUUUGUCGUAAAGUUUUGUUUUCAACCGACCCUCAUUGUCAAUUUCUAGAUGUAAGUCAAGAUAUGAGGCCGACCUAAUUAUCUGUAGUAUUAUAAAUCUCUAGUUCGAUGGGAUAUUUGCGUUCAACAUAGUCACCAAAUUUUGAAUUAUUUAGUGAAAGAACAUCAUCUGUAUAGCGGAAAGUAGAGUUAAAGCAUAUUGCUAACUUCUUAUCAUUCUUCCUAAGAAGUUCCUGUAUAAACAUUCGACAUGAUUUAAGACGAAUACCUUAUAUCAACAUAUUUGACCAGUAAAUAGUCAUCAAAGAUUUGAGCAGGAAUUCGUUCAUGGUGUUUUCACAUAAUCCAAUACCCAACAGAAAAACAUUAACAUCGUUUAUUUUGUAUCACGUUCAUGCAUUUAUAGUUUAAGUGGAUACUUUAGAUUUUCCUGAUUAAACAUGAGCUUCAUUAUACAAAAUGAAUUUGCAGUUUUAAGUUGUGGUUUAGAAAAUAUUAGUCACGUUCCAUUUGAUUGAUUCACACAUAUCGUACCGAUUACGAAACUGAUCGAGAACUAUCCCUUUAUAUAAAUUGACGUGCAUUACCGAAUUUACACUCAAUAUACCUUACGUUAUAUAACAAAAUAGAUUGUAUUACAUAACUAUGAUGUCAAUAUUAAAAUCUAAUUUAAAUAAGUAGUUUUGAUUGUUGAAAGUCAAAAAUGAAGUGCAUAGAAAAUAAUAUUACAUUCUAAUAUUGAAUAUGCAUUGGAAUGAAAAUAAAUUUGUAUCAACUUCAUUAUUAGUAAAAGAAAAAUGGUUGUCUAUGGGGCAUUUGAGUGUUUUGACAAUUAAUGCAUUUAUUAACAAAUACUUUUAGAAAAGUAUCUCAUUACAUAAUGUCAGUAUCGAAGCAUUGACAACUGAACUGAUGAUAACCUUGGAGACUGGUUAAAAUAACCAUUGAUACAUUUCGGGCGUAUACAUCGUUUUUCUUGGUGUUCCUUAAUUAGGAACGCUAUUAGAGAACAAUCUAAAAACCAAGGAUGAAGAAAUUCUGGGAAACGUUAGAUGAAUGACUAAAAAUCCCCCGCCAAAAAAGAGCAAAAACCAUCUGAGUUCUGAUAUCAAGAAACUAGAAACUAUAGAAAUUGUUAAAAUUUCUUUAAAACAAUAAACGUAUAAAUACGUAUCAAUGUUGGCGGUCAUGUUUCCAAAAAUGUUUACGGCUACAUACUGAAAUUUGGUUGUGUUAACAAUAAACUCAUAAUUGGUACCAAGAUCGAAAUGUUGUAUGCCAGACGCAGGUUAUGUCUCCAAAAAGGCUCAUUCGUGACGCUUGAAUAAACAGAGAUAAAACUCCAUAACAAACGUAAUUGAAGAGCAUUAAAGACCAAAUUUUCCGGUUUGUUUUACUAUUGCAUCCAUUUAAGGUAAUAUAUUCUUGUUGUAACAAAUCAUAUGUGUAAAAAUCGCGGAUUAGAAAAAGAGAGACGAAAGAUAUAAAAAAAGAUAUUUAUUUUGACUUUGGCAUUUACUUAGGGACUUUCCGUUUAGAUUUUCCUCGGAGCUCGGUAUUGUUGUUAAUUUGUUUAUUUCAAACUCAAGGAAAUUUUCUGUGGAACAUUUUACUACAACCAGGAACAUUCUGGACGACAACAUGAUCUACUUACAGAUUCAAUGUAAUGAAAACCAUAUCGAUAUCAACAGUUUGCAAUCGCGUUUUAAUUGUCUGGUUUGUUCAUUGCGUUUAUGUGAGACCAGAUCUUUUAUGGUCAUAAAUUCGACACAAGUUAUUUUUCAACAAUCGCAAACACUGUUUUCCAAGUCAACAUGACGUACAUAUUUAAGAACACUCGUGACGUCUGUAGCUAGUACACUUUGAAUUGAUUAGACAUUUGUUAGAGAGAUAGGAAUGUUUCACAGAUGACGAUGGAUACAUAAAAAAUAAUAACACGUGGUACAAUUGCCAACAUUACAACUCUCCAUAUGACACAGAAAUUAACACCUAUAUAUGCCACUUUACGUUCACAACAAUGCACAAAGUCCAUACCUCAUAAUCAGCUACAAAAGCCCCAAAAUAACAAUUGUAAAAUAUCAAACGGCCUGAUUUAUGUACACAAUAAAAGAAAAACAAAUACGAUAAACAGCAACUAACGAAAUCAACUGAAUCACAGUCUUAAGACUUGGAACGGACACAUACAGAACGUGGUUGGAUUAGACUAGUUUCAAGGUGCCAAACAUGUUGUAAUUAUUGGAACUAUAAAUCCCGCCCCCUUUUCAACGAAUGUGACCUACAAGUGUAGAUUUAUCACCAGGUUUGUAACUACAUGAGCAGUUUUUAACUGGCUUUGUAUUGGUCAGUCUUCAGUUUUCGAUGUUGUGAUUUGUGUACUGUUGUUUAACUGUCUGUCUGUCAGUUUGCUUUUUUCCCCUUUUUUUUGGCUUUUCGUUUUCAGUUUAUUUUCGACUUUUGAGUUUGAAUGUCCAUUUCGUAUCUUAUGCCUCUUUUGCAAGCAAAACGCAAAUGGUUUUUAUAGUUUGUACAGUAUAUUGCUUAUUAAGGAAUCAAACCCACUUUUUAAGAUAACAUUUAAAUAGCACGAGUCAAAUGUGAAAUGGUUCUAACGUACUUGUAAAUAGACUUUAUUUAGAUUCUAGUGUUUCUACACAGUUCUAAUUUUUACAAAUUUGUAAUCUUAGUUCACUUAGUUAAACUUUUUUAUAUGAGUAAAACAAAACAACAUUGAAACUGUUUCUAUUUCAAAGUUUGUUAUAACGACAUAGUCUCAAAUAGGGAGCUUGACAAACUGCCUUGUCCUUUUUGCAAACAAUGCCAUACAGCGUUUGUCGUAUUCUAAAUGUGUAUGUGUACACAUGUUUCAACGUGAACAUAGUCUUAAACAAUCGAUAUCUACGAGAAUUCUGUACCAGAAAAGUACUCUCACUUCUAUCCACAUCUUGUUGACCCGAAAUGUCCAGCUUUUCCGUUUUCUGAAUGGUCGUCUCUAUAUCCGGUUAAAGGGAAGAUUCGCAUCCAGUCUAUAGAGUUUACAAAGUAAGCUGAUACAAGAUAUGCUAAAUAACGUUUUAGUCAAAAUCCAGUCCAGUCAAUAAGUGACGAUACUUUUGACGUAUGCACGUUUACCUAUAUCAAUGAAAAUAUUUAGGCGGUUUUGUUCACUGUAGUUCAAAAUUUAAGUUAAGCCCCUGAUUCCACUUCCAUAGAAGAGCAUAGGCUCCACCAUCGUAGAAUAAAGUUUGCCAAAACACUGUGGGUAAAACCGAUGGCUGAUAUUACUUUUCUGUACACUGAUUUUAUAGCUUAUCACGCUGAUCUUAUUACUAUUGUUACAGGUUUUUUCGCCAAUUUUCAAACUAAUUCGGUAUAAGUAUCCAUCUGUUAUUACAAACUUAUUUCUUAAGGUAAUACCAACACUAAGUCGUCAAAAUAUAAUUAAAUACUACGAUGAAAAAUGUUCAUUGUUAUGGUGUCAGGUUUGUCGGCAAAAGGUUUAUGGACAUUGAAAACAUCGUAGGAGACAAUAUGCAACCCUGCUUAACGCCAUUCUAUUCCUUUUGUUUGUACAUCAUUCCACGUGGAAUUUUCACUGCCACACGUACAGUAAAUAUAAAUCCUUUAAAGUAUGAUAGGCCCAUAUGACGGCACUAAUGAACUGUUUGAAAAUUUCAAUAUUGUUUUAUUUGAAAUUUUAAAAUAACACUGAUUAAAAAUGUUAUCUCUCUUAUGUAUAGCUCUGAUUUCUUGUCUAUGUUGAAUUUAAGUUUAGUUCAGGUUUUCUCUCUUUUUCUAUUUUGAUACCUCUUCAGUGUUUUAAUAUGUUUUGUGCUUUCCAAUAUUUUUUGCUUAAUUGUCGUAACACGCAUCAAUAAAAUAGGUACCGGUAUAUUAUAACUCUCGUAUAAAAAGAUUACACAUCACUUAUAUAAUUAUCAAUCUUUUAAAGUCCAAUUAAUGUGCGUCUCCUUAUUUAUGGUUCAUUUGUUGAUUAUGCACAAAUGUUUGUUAGUUAGUAAAGUGAUAAUACUUUAAAACGUGACAAUGUGCACGACAUCUUAAAAUCUGACAAUGAUUGUUUUUCAGAACACACAUUUCAAAAUAAGACAUUUAAUAUUUUAACCACUUUUAGACGUUAUAUUUUAUUAGUUCCAGUUAUAUAGAAAUAGAGAACACUAAUAUUGACAUAAACAUGACAAAUAUAGAUAGAAAGUGUCGACCCACCCAAACGAAACAAUUAAAUAAUAAAUAUCAAAAUUCGAUUCGUUUUUUUUAAAUUAACAAAAUUGACGAUGUCUAAACACUAAUAUAGCUUUAAUCUAUACAAAAUACAAGAGUUAUCAGAUUGAAGUCCACAAUGAUUGCAAUACAUAUAUUAGGUAUUGUAUGUUCUUUCAUGAUUUCAUGCAUUUGCAUUUCAAGAAUUUGUUCAUCGUGGACUAUAAGAAUAACUUGCAUUGAUUGGAGGAAAUUGAACUGAAAACGAAUGAACAAAUGCUGAAAGUAAGGGAUAGGAAAGGUUAAAAGAACACACCUUAAUAGUCAUGUCAUUAUUAUUUCGUACUUAUAUUCAAUACAUGUAUAUGACUUUCUAGAUGUGUUUUUUUUUGUUUUUUCUUUCUUAUAUCCAUAGAAAGCCAUAAAUUGUAGAUUAAGGAAAAAACAUUAUCGACAUGACUUUCGUUGCUACCCCAUUUGCUCCCAUGUCUUUUUUACAACCAUUUAACCGACCCAAAAUAAGAGAUUCAGCAAAGUAAUAUAAUAUACUAUUUAUCUUUUUCAGGAACUGGGCUGUUGAAAUAGACAUGUUUCCAUAGGGAGGUAGCUGAUGCAAAACAAAAAAAGAAACAUUCAAAUAUGAUAGAAAAGCAAAUGGUAAUUGUCAAAGCUGAGAUUAGUGUUUGCAAAUAUGAAGAAAAUCGAACCGUGUAAUGAAAAGAAUACUCACUGUUUCAAUUUUCUUAUUCACUUUGUCGAUAAAUUUGACUUUAAUAGGAAUUGAAUAUGAACACUUGAAUAUGAUAGAUGUAAAUAGCAAGGAAAAGGAUAGAAAAAAGCUUAAAUUCAGGUCUAUAUAUCGGAAAAUAAUGAAACUGUGGAUUAUAAUAAUAAAA
rnacentral:lncRNA from 1 species